AUAUAUAUAUAUGUAGCAUAAUGAACACACACACACUGUAGCAUAAUGAACACACACACACACACAUAUAUACAUGUGUGUGUGUGUGUGUGUUCAUUAUGCUACAGUGGUAUACCA
rnacentral:miRNA from 1 species